GGAGAGCGACACCCGAUGGGGGGUGGGGACUGGCACUCGGACAUGCACGGGUCAAGGAGGCUGUCGCGCUCGGGGACGCGCGCUGGAGGUGAUGCUGCGGAUGCAGAAGGAGGAGGCGGAGGAUGCUGCGGCGGCCGCUCUGCGGUUUGACUGACGGGCGAACGCGCGCUAAUAAAGGGCUGUCACAGUGACACGUUCACGGACACGUGGAACAGGCAGCCAAACGUGGGACAUGCCACGAGGAAAAAAAACAACAAAUCCCCACAGCUUUGUGUACAGUUUGGUGUCAGAUUAAGAGGCUACAUCUAGUUUGAAAGUGAAGCACCAACUAUACAGCUUAUCUCUCAGACCGUUGUGCCACAACAAUUAUGUUGGAGGAGAUUGCAGGAGGGUAACCUGGUCCCAUCUGGAGCUUAUCAGAGCCUGACCCGGUUUUGGCGUGCUACGUUCGCGCGCCGCUCCUUUGGGACCUGUUCCCUCCUCGUUGCUGACAAAGAGAAGAAGGCCACAGCCGUUCUAUCCCAGCUCAGACCCACAUACCUCGACUCAACCCGAGCCCAACAUCGCCGGAUCCUUCCUCACGCUGCCCGCUCCCAAGAAGUUGCUUACAUUACACUUCCUCCCUCCCUCUCUCAUUGUAGGUCACUUGGUCUACCUUCCUCCAUUUUGGAAAAGGGCUUGCGGG
ensembl:lncRNA